rnacentral:rRNA from 1 species
UGGGGAAUUUUGGACAAUGGGGGAAACCCUGAUCCAGCCAUCCCGCGUGUGCGAUGAAGGCCUUCGGGUUGUAAAGCACUUUUGGCAGGAAAGAAACGUCAUGGGUUAAUACCCCGUGAAACUGACGGUACCUGCAGAAUAAGCACCGGCUAACUACGUGCCAGCAGCCGCGGUAAUACGUAGGGUGCAAGCGUUAAUCGGAAUUACUGGGCGUAAAGCGUGCGCAGGCGGUUCGGAAAGAAAGAUGUGAAAUCCCAGAGCUCAACUUUGGAACUGCAUUUUUAACUACCGAGCUAGAGUGUGUCAGAGGGAGGUGGAAUUCCGCGUGUAGCAGUGAAAUGCGUAGAUAUGCGGAGGAACACCGAUGGCGAAGGCAGCCUCCUGGGAUAACACUGACGCUCAUGAACGAAAGCGUGGGGAGCAAACAGG